UCCAGGACUCUUCUCCACCUUCCUUCAAAAAAGGACUCUUCUUCAAUUCGUCCUCCGGUCUCGAGGAAUCCUCUUCGGCGAUGGCAACUCCUCCGCCCUCCUCCUAUAAGAACCUCCUCCUCGCGCGAGCCACCUGAUUUGCUGAGAUCGUGGUAACACGCAAGUGCGGCGCGGAGCUCGCUCAAGGUCGAUGCGCCCCGUGGUGGUGGCGUUCGAGGCGGGUCGGCCCGAGCUGGGUCGAUCCAACCGCCGUCGCCAGCCAUGUGUUCUUGAUCCCGUGGACGACCUCACCGACAACAAGCAGGAUAGCUACGAUGAAUUGUGGACGGGCCCAGCAGCGUCCUAUGUGCGGGCGCCGGCGACGUUCUUCGCCUUGUGGACGUGCUCCACGUCGAUCCCGGCGAGGACGUCUACAUCUCCGUCCCCAGGGCUUCUAUCGACACCACGAGGUCACCGACAUCACCGCUGGAUGCGCCACAUCUUGCCCUCCCCUACUGCUAGCCAAUGGGCUGCUGCUCUCCUAGACGAGCUACGGUGGUCGCCCACAGGGUGUUUGACGGAAUUCCCAUCAAGGAUGGCAUCACUUGGGCGACCAUAGACUUCGAUGGAGGUUUCCACGACGAAGCAGUAAGUCUUUUGACCUGCAUGUGUCACGAAUGACAGGGACUCAUUGGUGCUAUGCUCGUCCAUGCCAUUGUGGCUGUGUUUGGCUGAGCAAACCAAGGAACUUCAGUGAGCUGUUGCACGCGCAUAAAGAGAGCCUGCAAUGAUGUAGGUAGUUCGGCCUGCUACGCCGGACGCGAGGUUGCCAUCAAGAUGUCAGCAAGCCAUUUAAAGCUGGAAAGGAGUGAUAUGAUUCAUGCCUCUUCACACUGUAUACAAUCUGAUGAAGAGGGAAUCAAGGUUCUCUUCUUCUGUCCUGUGAAUAUUUUGUUUUCUAUUUGUAGAAAAACAAAGCAGCAAGCCUCCUCGCAGCUUCCAUUAAAAACCCAUGUGCCAGAAAGUUCUUAGCAUGAAACCAAGUACUACCACAUUUCUGAACUGUGUAUUUUAGUGAAAUCUCUUGGAGUUUAUGGAUCUGGUGGAACAAAUAUUGUUUAGACAUGAUUGUUUUUCUCCAUAGUUACUUUCUAAAUCAUUAUUAUUAUUCUCCUAAUAGUAUACUCUCCAUUUCAUAAAAGUGCAAUUUGAUUUGAGAAUCCGGGGAUGGACGAGACAGGUUUGUACCAAACAAUUUCCUCGGAAAUUUCUUACAAUCCCCUACAAAAUAGACAGUAUGACUAUUAGGAGAACUGUUUGCAAGGGGAUGGACGAGACAGGUUUGUACCAAACAACUUCCUUGGAAAUUUCUUACAAUCCCCUACAAAAUGGACAGUAUGACUAUUAGGAGAACUGUUUGCAAGGGGAUGGACGAGACAUGUUUGUACCAAGCAAUUUCCUUGGGAGUUCUUACAAUCCCCUACAGAACCAUCCUUUUCUUUGUAGGGAAGCAAAUAUUUUGGGUUGUAUCAUACUAACGUGAGACGGAAUGGAUCAGUAUGAGGUGUUGGAUCAGACUUGGAAGGGCUCUUUGGCUCUACACUCCAGGUGAGGUAUGUCUCCAAGGUUGCAAGGGAUAUGACAUUGCCUUUGUUGUGCUCGGGAAUAAGUGGUCAUGAAAAAUACAGCUCCGCAACUCUGCAACCAAAAAAGCUCUCUGAACUUGCCGCUGAUUCAUCUAACUGCUCCUGCUGCUCUUGGCUGCCUUCGGAUGAAGGUACUGCUUCGGUGCUAGAUUGGAUGGAUAAGCAAGAAAGCAAACCGAAUGGGAAAAGAUUGGGAGCAUAUGCAUUGGUUUGGAAACUAAAAAAAGGAGAAGAUAAGAGUAUGUGGUGGACAAAGGUCACCCGUUUAUCAACAACUAGGUGCCGGCUUCGUUUUUUAAAGCAAGACUUCCAAAAUAUUAUUUUGUGAAUGUAUAAAUUUGUAUCUAAUAAAAUUGAGCAGGUUGACUUUUACACUGAUUGUGUAAUAUUGACAUAUUCUUAUCAGUUUUUUUCAAGCUUUUCUAUUGUUA